CUGGGUGAAAAAUGGAGGAGCCAACAAUUACAUCAAAGAAAAAAAAAUACAAAGAUUUUACCUGUGGAUGGACCUGCAAGAUUAGUAGAAAUAUACUGUGGUUGAGGAGGGAGGAUGAGGGAAGGAGGGAAAAAUAUAAGAUGAUUUGGAUAGCAAAUGUUAAAGAAAGGGAAGUACUACUGUUAUGAUUAUGUAUAUAAAAUCCAAUAAAAAUAUUUAAAACCUCUUUAAAAAACAAACAAAGGCAGAGGCUUCUUCUUUAAUUUCCAGCUUCUGGAGACGGUGCCCAUCUCUAGUUCUGUGGAGAUGCUUUUUUCCUUAUUUUAAGCCAAGGAGCCUGUGUUCUUACCGGCAAGAUUGCUUGGAGUGUCUCUUUGCCUUUUCCUGCAGAAGCAGUACCUAUUGAUCUACUCACAUUUGCAUGUUUUCGAACUGCUAGGUUGACAAAAAAUGAAGCUUACAGAUGGGAGCUCACCCUGUCUCACAGAUUCGAACUGCAAACCUUCAGAUCAGCAAUUCAGCCAACCUUCAGAAGAAUGCUGCCAAUCGCCAGAGGCAGACAUGUUUAUCAAGCUGUGUAUCUUGACGUCUGACAUAAAAUCUUUGGUACGGCCCAAAAAGUUUCUGUCAGCACCUUAGAGACUGUGAGCCCAAUGGAGUUGGCAUGGGACCAGAGAGAGCAAGGCCAGCGGUGGAGCAAUUGACACCAAGCCAAGAAUUACAAAAAGAGGGAAAGUCAUACUCGAGGAGAACAGCCCCUUUUCUCUCUCCAUUCUGCUUAAUAUUGAACAGAGGCAUCUAAACCACAAAUCUGCCACAGUUUAGGUGAAAAGGGUGUAGAGAUUUUUUUUUCUUCCAAAGCAAAGCACUUCUUUGCUUGCCAGCCUAAGGGAUAUAUCAUCAUACUAGGUGUCAAAGCCGUGUCAAUGAGAUGAUAAAAUUUAUUGCAUAAAGUAUGCCCUCUUGAAAAACAAAAACACCCUUCAAGAAACAUCAGAAUCAGCCUUUGUUUCUGUUUUCAAUUUUAACCAUUAUUUUUUAAAUAAAGGUGAAUAACUUGU